AGUGCGGUCCCCUCGCGCGUCAGGUAUAAAAGCCGCGCAUGACGUAAGCGCCCACAUUUCAAAUCUGGACGUUGUGCUGUGAAGACGUGACUGUGUUGUGAAGUGCUCCUCGAGUUCACCAUUGGGAAUUUUGCCUGUACGGAUUCAGUCCCAUUGCGUUUCGCGCGUGGGUCUGCCAUCCGUCGGCCGCCAUCUUGGUUGCCGCUGGGGCGCGGUCGCUGCUAGCCACAAAAUGGGUUUGUAGUAAACGGUAUCAUGCAUUUAUUUAGUUAGUUAGUUUUAUUAAAUUGUAAAUGUUUCAAUUUAUUCUAUUACUAAAGGGUAAAUUCGGAAUUUGUGUUUAUUCAUAUUGAAUAGUGAAAAUUAUUGUAACAUAUGUUUAAGUAUGAUAAUAAUAAAAGAUUUUUCAAAACAAAUAGUGUUCUCAAUACAAUUUCUUUUUGUUUACUGAUAUUUCACCACACACAAAUGUAUUAUUCCAUGAGUCAUCAUCUUCACUUCGUGGAGAAACUUGGUCGUCAUGCUGGCGCAAUCGAGCUGCCGAUUACGAAUCCGCUGCGGAAGGUCGAGGGUCGGGGCGCUGCUAUUGCCUCCUCCUGCGUAACCCACGCCUGCACACAAGCUGCGUGCGAGGACAUACACUCGAGUCCCGGUUGUCAGCCCACUGACUAGGUAACAGAUAGGACAUAGCGUCAUGAUUUCACCACUUAGCUAGAAGGUACUUUUAGGCCCCCACGGGGGCCUCUGGUUAACUUUGUCUUUAGACCUCAGAAUCCAGACGUUGCCAGAGCGGCUGCAACAAGCUAAUAUCUGCGGUCUCCGUCGCGACGGAGAAACGAGGUCACGAAGUGAGUCAUAGCUACACACAAACACAAGUGUGACGCAUCCCGCUCGGUGAGUCGAUUGCUGUACAAGUAAAUGGAAAAUUACCACGUUUCUUAUUACUCAUACUGACUGUGAUACAAAUUGAUUAUGAUAAUCAAAAGUACCUGCUGAUCACAGGUCGUGUAUUUAGGAAAUGUUUAACUCUUAACUGCCUACGGGCUAUGUGCGUAAAUAACACUCCACUCAAACAGGGCUAGAGGAGUAGCCAACUAGCGAUACUGUAGCGACGUCAAGACGGGCAGGGCAGACGGCUGGCGGGCUUCGAGCGGAUCCUGUUCCUGACAUCUCACGACCAGCCUCCAUCGAGCUGUCUGCUGUGGAGUGGCCAGCCGGCUCCGAAGCCGGCGGUGCCCCGCUGCCCGCCUGCCGAAACCGUCACUACGGCUCUCACCUUAGGUAAAAACCAGGCAAAUAAUUUUUCAGAUAACUAUGAGUAGUCAAGUGCAUGUUUCACUUUCAUGACAAAUCUCAAGCAGAGAACUUUAAAUAUAAUAACAAUCAUAAUUAGUUGCUAUAAAACGAAAAAAUGUAAGAAAUAAGUGAAAUCAUGAUGAAAUCAAACGCAACGUGUGGGCUGAUAUAUCUCCGGGACGCAGGACUAAUAAUUAUAUUCUCAGGAUCCAUAUCAAAUUAUAAUCUCAAAUACAAGAAAUAAACAAUAAUGAUAAGGCUGUAAUAACUAUUGAGGUCAAAUGGAGAUCUAGUAAUUCAAUAAUGGUAAGUUUACUGACUACUGCAUCUAAUUUCUUUACUGAUCUGGUUUAGGGAUAUUAUAAUCAUUUAUUCUGAUAAUAAUGAUACUUAAUAAAAUGGGUCAUUUUUACUCUUAUGUGAUAAAUAACAUUGUUUGAGAAAGAUAUUUGGAAUAAGCUACCUUACAAUACUUUUAACAAUAAUCUCUCGACUCUAAUUGAACCACGAUUACGUCAUCAUCGACGUAAUCAACAAGUAGGUAAUUGCGAAACCAUUUACUGAUAUGAAUGUGUAAACUUCACAGCUAACUGGACUCGAGCCGAAGUAGACGUGAACCGCAGUUUCACGCCGCGAAACGAAACUCAAGUCUGAAGGCUAUCGUCUCCAGUUCUCAUUAGAAAAUGGACAUCACGAACAGAUAAGUCCAAUGAUGUACCACAAUUUUAGUACAACCUAACAGGUUGCCCUAUAUAAUCAAAAUACGCAGAACAAAUGCCUGAUUGAAAAUUAUAGAAUUAGCAUCGAGGUUGGGUGCAAUUCUUGAUAAUUGUCUGAUUGACUGUGACGAAAGGACCGAGUUUGAAGAGUUGAAAGCACAGAUUCAAAACUACCUAAUUCAAUGUCUUUUUAAAAUAACACUGCAGUUUGCGACAUUAGAGACAGUUGUUGUAGCUGAAAUAUUUCGAAUUCACAACUAAGAUGAUCCAAGAUAAACCAAUAUUUAAACCAGAUAAUGCACUUAUUAAAAUACAAAUUGAAAUCCUGGAAAAUUUAUACGAUAUAAAUAAUUUAUUCUAUGAACAUUAGAGGUAUUUUUAACGAAAUCCUAAUCAAGCUAUUGUAAAUAUAUCUGACUUCGCUGGACUUGUUCGCAAGUCGUGUUUUGCUUCGAAAAUAUCAUGACAUUUACAGGUUAUUUCAAAGGACGAUAAAUAUCGAUAUAGAAAUGUUCCAAUAUUUGGAGUCAUAAAAUGGACCACAAAUAGCCUAAUUGGCAACACAUAUUCUACAAACAGGAGACCUACAAAAUUAUUGUGACUAUUCGUCGCAUAUAAUAUUUUCCUUCAGACAAUCCUGUCUUCAUCAGAUUCUAGGACUCCCACCGAAUUACCAUUCCUUCAAAACUUAUCAUCACAAAGUCAAAUGGAUCCGAACUACCCAAACUCCAGACAUCUGGCAGAUCUCUUACAAAUACAAAACUUAAUGAUUUCCGAGUUUAACACAGGUAUUCCCAACAUCAUUUUAUUUUUAUUUUUUCAUCUAACAUCAUUAAUUCUAUUUUAUAUAUUUAUUUAUUUAUUUAAUAUUCCUUUGUAAUAUUAUGUUCUAUUAAGUAUUUAGAAUGCCGAUAGUACGGCACAGCACUUUUCUAUUGGAGUUGAACUUUAUUUUUCCUAACAUAUUCGAUGUUUCGUAUGUUGCUUCCCCUGUGUUUUGUAUAGCUAGGUGGCUGUCAUUUCCUGAACGAAGCAUGUCGAGUACUCUGAUCCCAGACUUGGAAUGUGGGAAUUUCUGUUUGUCUAUACCACUACCAUGGACAUCAAUACAUCAUAUUGUCCGCCCACUACAAUAUUAAUAUUUUCUUCAAUAUUAUUAUAAACUGGAGCUAUUAUAAACCUGGACCCUCCCGAGAAAUAUUUUUUGAAACAUUGGAGCUGUUUUAUGGAAUUUAUCUCAUUUGAAGUUGCACUAACGCUAAGCCAUUAAAAGAAAAUGCAAGAUUUAUGUGACCAAUGAGUCCCUACCACUACACGAUAUUUUCUGUAACAGGGAAAUAACUUAGAACUCGUGUAAGUAAUGUGUGAUGUUUGAAUGGAAAAUUAAAGCCAUCAGUUUGAUAAUCAAAAUGAAGGAGGUACAUUUUCCGUUUGUUUUUCAUUACAUACUUAUUGGUGUGUAGAUGCUGCAUGUUGGUAUGUCAAUUUGUUUUUAUCGUAAACUAAGUAAUUAAUACUGAUUAAUACGAAAAAAACACUGAUUACACCUUUUAUACACCACUCGUUAUAAAUUAAACUACCUCUGCAGAGCUAUCGUUCAAUGGUGUAUGGUUCAUGCUUUUUUCGUUGAGCUUGUUUUACAUUUGGACUGCUUGUGCAGUCUUAGAUUGUUUAAAUUUUAUUUGUUUAGGUUCCAAGAUUGAACAGGAAAAUGCGAAUAUCCUACCUAUUAUGUGACAACAAAUAUUAUAAAUCUAAUUUGAAAUUGCAAGAUAAAUGAAAACAUUUCAAGAAGGUGAUGAGUAUUAAUACAAUAAAUGCCCUAAAAAGGGCCAAAUACACAAAUUAGGAUAUUGAAUGACUAUACUUCUGGGCGGCAUAAGAAGAACGCACGUUUCGUUAGAAGUUGCGCUUGCGCAUAAUCAUAAUUAUUCCAGGUUUUCAGUGUCGUGUGUCUGUUUAGCCUAGGUUACCCACUGAUCCAGUGAUUGCAAUAAAACCUAACAAAAUGUAACAAUAAAACGAGUUUCACGCAUUUGACGAGCUUUGGCGCAGCGACGAGCAUUGGAGAUUCUCAAUACUGUUAAUAUUUCCUUUGAGAAGUAGUUCAAAGAAAAUAAAAUCAUGCAAAGCAAUAAAUAAUCUAGAAGAAACUGUACAAAAUGUGAAUUCUGCGAAUGGCUUUUUAUAGCGAAUGAGUUUGAAUUAUUUUGGGUGGAGGCUGUAAAUAUAAUCUUUCCUACUAUAUGGACACUGGUAUGUUAUGCUAUAGUUAAUUUGAGCGAUAUGUAAGUUCUAGACAUUAGGUUUGUUAUUGGUUGCGGCUUAUGCAACCCGAUCCGACCAUUACGUUGCCUUGUCUAUGUACACAGAUGUCUGCAAAGCUGAUACUGAUGUUGCCACGUUCAUCCGCAAUAUAGCAGGCACGCAUGGCUGCACUGCUGUUUACAACUAAGUAACUCAUUUCAUUAUGUCAAUAAGUCAAUCUUCGUUUGCUGAAAACACCUCGGCGUAACGCUACAGAUUCCAGUUGAAUCAAGGUUAAAUUUAAACGUAUUUCACUUUACAAACUCUGGUCUCCGGUCUGCUUGUCUCUACUUCUGGUGAAGUCUUGCAACCAGUCACACGGUAAAUCAAAUUGCACAAAUCUCUCUCGCUCUCUCUCUCUCUCUCUCUUCUUUUUAGUGCAUAUGCAGCUGCGAUAUGAAGUCGUAUGUUUACAGCAUGGCAGAAAUAGAUUUGGAUCACCUAUCCAAGAUGUGUGCAAAAUGCUGCUACAUUUCAUGGUACCUACCUAGUUUCUGUUACAAGAACAAGAUCCUGAAAAAAUAGAUCCAAUGCCUCCCGAAUCCAGAAAGUAUUGUUUUUGUGGAAAUUUGGAACCACCAUAAUUUGAAGACAUGCAUCAUCAUCCAACCCAUUAAAUGCAAGUAGUGAGUCCUAGCUCUGUGUGUCACAGAACUUGCAUGCUAUGAAAUCUUUUCCCUCCAGAUGUUGAAACCGCUUGUGGAACUGUUUGGAGGCCUAAGAACUUCUUAUUGCAACGGCAGCCUAUUAGCCAGGCCUUUCGACGGGUAAAAGAUACUAAUUUAGUUUCUUCCAGGGCUGCCAAUGGUCCAUUAAUACCACAUUCAUUCAAUAUCCUUGCUUCCUACGUGAUUAUGAAAAAUGCAUCGAGGAAGCCUUAAAGCAUGGUAACUUUUAAACUCAGCUGUAGACCACAAUGAGUAACGAAUCUUUCGAAAGUGAAGUUAUUGGUGACUAACAUCGUGACGCUGGUGAUGCUACUUAUUCUGAGGGUACGCCUUUUGCAUUAUUCUUUGUAAAUAACCUGCGACUGAGAGAGAAAGCCUCAGAAACGCAAUUUGUUUGCUUAAUGUUAUUGCAGCUUCUUUGAUAUCCGGUUCGAUCGAACAACGCGAGUAUUCUGAAGUGCAAUGGUCCUUUCUGCAGUUAUCCGGUACAUGCCUCUAUCAGCCAAAAAUCAAUGCUAGCAGCAAAGCAGCGUGUAAAACUGAAUCGUUUGGGCUUAUCUAUAAUCAAUCGCCGACCAGCCUGUUAUGAUGAGUGGCAUAACUGCGUAAUGAAUCGACCGCAAAUACCACCUAAUGUAAAGCGCACAAGCCAGGUGUAGGUACUCGUAAGUUUUGUAUAAUUAUGUAGAUUCCCGAACUAAUGCGGAAAAUGGUUAAAAAUUAACAUAAACUGUAGGAUAGACAAUGCGUAAGUUUUAUGUUUUCACAGCAAAUAUCCUGCUUGCAAGGCAGUUAGAACGCUGAAAAAUUAUACAGGUUUAAACAGUACAAUGGCACCACUACGAUGCAUAUGCGGUUCAACUCACGAUGCGACACUGAUGAGGGCGGCGCGGUAGUUGACAUCGUAGAAAAUGUUUGCUGCCAACAUCCAGAGAACAUUCUGUCUUCACCAAAUCGAAGUUGCUGCGUCAAUCUAAACGCCAGGGUAUGCCGUGCUUUGUUUUCGCUAGAUUUGUUUAACUGCAUCUCCGUAAAAGGAAACGUAGUCGGCUAGAGGUAAGACCUCGGGCACAUGACCUUCCCUUAGUGUUUUCGCAGCCAGAGCACAAUAUGGGUGAAGAGUGCUGAUGCUACCUAGCCAAGCUUUCCUGUACCUACAUCGAUAAAUCCUACGGCGCGGCGUUAUGUUGUAUGUAACUGAGCUGUCUACAAAUUCUACAAUGCGAAGAGGAGCACCUCUCGGCAAAGUUCCUUGAAAACGAUGAUCCUGGCGGUAAACGGAUUAUUUUGAUAAAUUACUUACAAUUAGAUAAAUAUUUGCUUCUUUGUCAAAUAUUCCCAAGUUACGAGGCUUCGGGACAUGCAAUCCUUUCAGUUCGUAUUUUACAGUCGGAGUAUCAUGCAUCCCAAGUGACAGGACGGAAGACCCUGAUCUUCGCAGCAACCAGCUCUCAAUUCGCUCCUGGUGAUAAUCAGAUUAUUUUGAGAAAUUGAUAUACAAACAGAUAAAUAUCUGCUUCUUGGUCAAAUAUUCCCGAGCUACGAGACUUCGGGACAAUCCGUUUAGUUCGACUUUUACAGUCGGAGUUUCUUGCAUCCCAAGUGAAAGGACGGAAGACCCUGAUCUUCGCAGCAUCCAGAUAAUACCAGCUCUCAAUUCGACCCUGGCGGUAAUCAGAUUAAUUUUGAUAAACAAUUAGAUCAAUAUCUAUUUCUUGGUCAAAUAUUCCCAAGCUACGAGGCUUCGGGACAUGCAAUCCGUUCUGUUCGUAUUUUACAGUCGGAGUAUCUUGCAUCACAAGUGAAAGUGUGGAAGAUCCUGAUCUUCGCAGCAUCCAGAUAAUAUCAGCUCUCAAUUCGACCCUGGUGGUAAUCAGAUUAAUUUUGAUAAACAAUUAGUUAGAUCAAUCUGCUUCUUGGUCAAAUAUUCCCAAGCUACGAGGCUUCGGGACAAUCCGUUCAGUUCGUAUUUUACAGUUGGAGUAUCUUGCAUCCCAAGUGAAAGGACGGAAGACCCUGAUCUUCGCAGCAGCCAGAUAAUAUCAGCUCUCAAUUCAACCCUGGUGAUAAUCAGAUUAUUUUGAUAAAUUGAUAAACAAUCAGAUCAAUAUCUGCUCUUGGUCAAAUAUUCCCAAGCUACGAGGCUUCGGGACAUGCAAUCCUUUCAGUUCGUAUUUUACAGUCGGAGUAUCUUGCAUCCUAAGUGAAAGGACGGAAGACCCUGAUCUUCGCAGCAUCCAGAUAAUACCAGCUCUCAAUUCGACCCUGGCGGUAAUCAGAUUAAUUUUGAUAAGCAAUUAGAUCAAUAUUUGCUUCUUGGUCAAAUAUUCCCAAGCUACGAGGCUUCGGGACAUGCAAUCCGUUCUGUUCGUAUUUUACAGUCGGGGUAUCUUGCAUCACAAGUCAAAGUAUGGAAGAUCCUGAUCUUCGCAGCACUCAGAUAUCAGCUCUCAAUUCGACCCUGGUGGUAAUCAGAUUAUUUUGAUAAAUUGAUAAACAAUCAGAUCAAUAUGUGCUUCUUGGUCAAAUAUUCCCAAGGUACGAGGCUUCUGGACGAGGGAAUCCGUUCUGUUCGUAUUUUACAGUCGGAGUAUCAUGCAUCCCAAGUGAAAGGACGGACGACCCUGAUCUUCGCAGCAUCCAGGUAUCAGCUCUCAAUUCGGUCCUGGUGGUAAUCAGAUUUAUUUUGAUAAACAAUUAGAUCAAUCUGCUUCUUGGUCAAAUAUUCCCAAGCUACGAGGCUUCGGGACAAUCCAUUUAGUUCGUAUUUUACAGUCGGAGUAUCUUGCAUCCCAAGUGAAAGGACGGAAGACCCUGAUCUUCGCAGCAUCCAGAUAAUAGCAGCUCUCAAUUCGACCCUGGCGGUAAUCAGAUUAAUUUUGAUAAACAAUUACAUAGAUCAAUAUCAGCUUCUUGGUCAAAUAUUCCCAAGCUACGAGGCUUCGGGACAUGCAAUCCGUUCUGUUCGUAUUUUACAGUCGGGGUAUCUUGCAUCACAAGUCAAAGUAUGGAAGAUCCUGAUCUUCGCAGCAUCGAGAUAUCAACUUUCAAUUCGACCCUGGUGGUAAUCAGAUAAAUUUUGAUAAACAAUUAGUUAGAUCAAUCUGCUUCUUGGUCAAAUAUUCCCAAGCUACGAGGCUUCGGGACAAUCCGUUCUGUUCGUAUUUUACAGUCGGAGUACCUUGCAUCCCAAGUGAAAGGACCAAAGAUCCUGAUUUGCAGCAUCCACAAGGUUUCAAGAGGAAUGAUCUGAUCUACCUGCCCAGCAUCUGCGAGUCAAAUCCAACAACCAUAUUCAGGGUACCUACUACUUUCGAUCUUUAAAUGGUAACUCUUGACUAUUACUCCUCAAAAUACAAUGUCUUGAAGUCUCGGCCAAAUAAAAAGAAAAUGUUUCUGUACUACGAGUAAAUAAGUCUGCCAUUAAGGUAUGACCUAGGGCGUAUUAUCUACACUUCGUGUUUUCACAGUAGACCGCCUCCAUGUGUAAGGGAAAAGAGUGCUUCAUCUACUAAUAGUGCAAGAUGUAUCCUCGCCACCUUGUCAACUCGGCUCUGAACUGGUAAUUUUACGUACUUUUAUGAUCGCCUUACCACCAAGAUAUUGACUUCCUCGAUUUUACUUUUACUACCCAGUAACCAGGUAUAUUCCUAAGCUACGGCCUCUCAGGAGGUAUGGAAACCAUGCAGUUUAUAUUUUGCAGUUUCGACGCACGUUGCACGUUAUUGAAGGUGAAUCUCACAUCGAUGUAGGUGCGCCAAUCUAAGUAGAAUAAAUCAACGAAUGUUAUAAGAUUGAAUUACACUGGGAAGACUACAAGUUGUUCGCUGCGAGUUAUAGAAAUGUCAUCUCCGACCCCUCAUACGCAGUCUACUAAAUAUCACAGCCGGGAAGAGACCUAUACUUUGGUAACGAAACUUUUAAGUAGCUAAUAUGUGUUAACGGUGAUGCAAUCCUGACAGAAUAUGCUGUGAUAAAGUAUGUACUAAUAGUUCUUCACAGUCUUGUUAUUACUCACACGUACCUUUAAGCCACGGAUCCUCGGACUACUUAUGGAAUGUGCUACGAGUACUGCAAGCAAAACACAUUUAAUCUUUUAGAAGCAACCGAUAAGUGAGAUGCAUGAUUUUGAUAAUCCUGUCUUCUGCCUAAUGCUUGGAUUAGUCACCGUCACCAGCUCUCUCCGAUAUAAGCAUCAUCAACAUCACUGGUACCUACUACAAGACGGAAAGGUGCACCACUCUUGGCUAUGUUUUCAUCGCUAUGAUAUUGGUAACCCACCUUUGUGUUUGUGAUACUAAACUUGAAGACCGUCCAUUAUUAGUUUUGUGCAGCAUGCACUAGCAGCAUACUUGACUGUCUUUUGUGUUAGCAGUUUAUGAGUACCGCGCGCACUGUGUGGCUUCCAAUGGAUCUACAAAAAAAAAGUAGAUUAAAACUGUGGUCAUGUUUCUUGGGAAUUAACUACUUACGUAGGUAUGUAAGUGUGUUGUGCGUAUGUAUUUAGGUAUGUUCUUUGGGUUUUACUUGUGCUCAAAAUGCGUGAUAAUUUUUUCUCUUUCCUAACCUGUGACUGGGUAUGUGCAAUCGUAGACAUGCUUGCAUUUUACAGAAGGGUGCAUUGGUAUUAUAAGUGAUAAACUGGUGCUGGUUUACGAGCUUCGUGUUGCAUAUCCGCCACACCUAUUACCAAACACCUCGGCUUCAAGAAGUGAUUUGUUUAAACUGGUAACCAACUGCACCGAUUUUAUUGCAUCUUGUGGAAGCUAGAAUACUGGACAUAGAAAAGACUGAUUUGAAGUAGUGUGUCUUGUGUUUGAGUAAGCAGUUCUUUCGUUUAGUGUGUGUAUUAAUUCAGUAGACAUUGUUUCCUAGCUCCUUCUGAGCUAUAGUCGUAGUUUAAGAUAGGCAAACAAAUUGUUUAAAGACAGCAGGCGCCUCGGUAGUACUUCAGCCAGCCUGUAGAGACGUCUCCGGUGCGGCAGAGCAGGCGUCCUUUGCCUUUCGUGGCCUCGCGACUGCAGGCGUCUUCGCAGCGCUGCCGCCAGCCUGUAGAGGCGUCUCCGGUGCGAUAAGCGUUUCCCUGGCCUCGCGACGGCAGGCGUCUCCGGUGCGGCAG